GCCACGUCUUAGUGGUUAGAGUGUUUGACUCCCAGUUGAAAGGUCCUGGGUUAGAUCCCCAUUGUCCACAGGCA